GAGUGGUGGAUGUGGAGGUGAUGGUAGAGGUGGAGGUGAUGAUGGAGGUGGAGGUGAUGGUGGAGGUAAUAGUGGUGGAAGUGGAGGCAAUGGUGCUGGAGGUGAAGGUGAUGG